GUGCCAGCCGCUGCGGUAAUACGUAGGGUGCAAGCGUUAAUCGGAAUUACUGGGCGUAAAGCGUGCGCAGGCGGUUCGGAAGGAAAGAUGUGAAAUCCCAGGGCUUAACCUUGGAACUGCAUUUUUAACUACCGGGCUAGAGUGUGUCAGAGGGAGGUGGAAUUCCGCGUGUAGCAGUGAAAUGCGUAGAUAUGCGGAGGAACACCGAUGGCGAAGGCAGCCUCCUGGGAUAACACUGACGCUCAUGCACGAAAGCGUGGGGAGCAAACAGGAUUAGAUACCCUGGUAGUCCACGCCCUAAACGAUGUCAACUAGCUGUUGGGCCUUCGGCUUGGUAGCGCAGCUAACGCGUGAAGUUGACCGCCUGGGGAGUACGGUCGCAAGAUUAAAACUCAAAGGAAUUGACGGGACCCGCACAAGCGGUGGAUGAUGUGGAUUAAUUCGAUGCAACGACGAAAACCUUACCUACCUUAGACAU
rnacentral:rRNA from 1 species